rnacentral:pre_miRNA from 1 species
CAUGCACCAGUGGGGUCCCUUGGCCUGGCCUGCAAUCCAGGACCCCUCAGGGGAUGUCAGAGAGCUGGUUUUGGCCUGAUCCCUGCAGGCCAGGCCAAGGGACCCCACCGGUGCACA